GCAGUCGACGGUACAGGUCUUCGGAUGCUGACGAGUGGCGAACGGGUGAGUAUACAUCGGAACGUGCCUAGUAGUGGGGGAUAACUACUCGAAAGAGUGGCUAAUACCGCAUGAGAUCUACGGAUGAAAGCAGGGGAUCGCAAGACCUUGUGCUACUAGAGCGGCCGAUGGCAGAUUAGGUAGUUGGUGGGAUAAAAGCUUACAAAGCCGACGAUCUGUAGCUGGUCUGAGAGGACGAUCAGCCCCACUGGGACUGAGACACGGCCCAGACUCCUACGGGAGGCAGCAGUGGGGAAUUUUGGACAAUGGGCGCAAGCCUGAUCCAGCAAUGCCGCGUGCAGGAUGAAGGCCUUCGGGUUGUAAACUGCUUUUGUACGGAACGAAAAGCUUCGGGUUAAUACCCUGGAGCCAUGACGGUACCGUAAGAAUAAGCACCGGCUAACUACGUGCCAGCAGCCGCGGUAAUACGUAGGGUGCAAGCGUUAAUCGGAAUUACUGGGCGUAAAGCGUGCGCAGGCGGUUUUGUAAGACAGAGGUGAAAUCCCCGGGCUCAACCUGGGAACUGCCUUUGUGACUGCAAGGCUAGAGUACGGCAGAGGGGGAUGGAAUUCCGCGUGUAGCAGUGAAAUGCGUAGAUAUGCGGAGGAACCCGAUGGCGAAGGAAUCCCCUGGGCCUGACUGACGCUCAUG
rnacentral:rRNA from 1 species